rnacentral:rRNA from 1 species
CUUCCCCAACAACUAGCCCAACCCACUAAAUACAACAAACCUCAUUAAUAACCCCAAAUACCACAAACCAAUGAAGCAAACCAUUUUUCCACCCAAGUA